CCUUUUUAUUGUCGGACAUCAAAUGUUCCUCUUCAAUUUACCAUCACAAUGCACAGCACAUGAAAAUUAGUCAAAUUAUUGAAACUUAAAAUAAUAUAAAAUUAUAUAUUUAUAUAUGUAAUCAUAUCCCAUGCAUCGCAUAAGUUUUUAAGCUAGUAUGUAAGUAACAGAAAUACUAGCAAGUAGGAAGCCCUACGUAGCC
rnacentral:lncRNA from 1 species